GUGAGGAAUAUUGCGCAAUGGAGGCAACUCUGACGCAGCCAUGCCGCGUGCAGGAAGAAGGCGCUACGCGUUGUAAACUGCUUUUAACCGGGAAGAAACCCCAGGACGUGUCCUGGGUUGACGGUACCGGAGGAAUAAGCACCGGCUAACUUCGUGCCAGCAGCCGCGGUAAUACGAAGGGUGCAAGCGUUAUCCGGAUUCAUUGGGUUUAAAGGGUGCGUAUGCGGAGCGUUAAGUCAGAGGUGAAAUACUGCAGCGUAACUGUAGACUUGCCAUUGAUACUGGCGCUCUUGAGUGCGCUUGAAGUGGGCGGAAUGUGCCGUGUAGCGGUGAAAUGCUUAGAUAUGGCACAGAACACCAAUUGCGAAGGCAGCUCACUAAGGCGAUACUGACGCUGAGGCACGAAAGCGUGGGGAUCGAACAGGAUUAGAAACCCUGGUAGUCC
rnacentral:rRNA from 1 species